CAUUAUAAUCCGCAAUGUGUGCGAUAUUUGUAUUUGAUUUUCGUUUUCAGUGACGUAUAUGGUGGCGUCAUUAAGAUAGGAGGGAAAUUCGUCUAUCUAACUUUUAGUAUUGUCUUUAAAUCGGCAUUUCGGUUGAUCCUGCGAGCUAUUGGUUAUGAAAAAAACGUGUCAAAAUGUCGGAACAUGGUUUGUGAACCUCACAGACAGUUGUUAAUUAGUAAUCAAGUUUUCGAAUUUUUUUUUUUACUUUUGGACUUUUCACACGGCUUUUCAUAAAUAUUUUUAACUUUCAAAAUAAAAUAUAUACAAUUGAAUAGUCUGUACACAAAAACGGCACGAAAUUGUGUAUAAUUUUCAUAGUUUCCAAGCAAAUUUAAAUAUCUUAAUGCUCAUGGAUUGAUAAAAGUAUCCGAGAUACAAGUGAAUGUUGAGAUACAGUUCUGGAAAGUA